rnacentral:misc_RNA from 1 species
CAUAGAGAGAAUAAUGAUAAACAAUUAUUUGGGUGAAAAGUUCCCGCCAUGGCUGUAUAUGAUGAAAAUUUCUAGUGAAGGUGAUUCUUUCACUGUAUUCAAUAAUUUGGUGGAACUUAAAUUGAUGAAGUGUAAGUGGUGUGAAGAACUCCCAAGACUUGGACAUCUUCCUCGUCUUAAAGUACUUUGGAUAUCUGGAAUGGAUAAGAUCAGAAGUAUAGGAAAUGAAUUCUAUGGCAUUGGCGAUGGAAGCACGAGCAAUGGAGUGAGGCCCUUUCCAGCAUUGAAGGUUUUAGGUUUCAGUUCUAUGAAGAGCUUACUUGAAUGGAAGGCAGCACCAGUGGAUGAGGGAGGUGAAACAGUUGUAUUUUCUUGCCUGGAAGAAUUUACCAUCAAUGAAUGUCCUCUGUUGACAAAAAUUCCAUUAAGUGAUUGUUCAUCGCUUGUAAGACUAAGAAUCGUAGAUUGUGGAGAAAUGAGUUACUUAUUUGAUGAACUGCAUUCCUUUCCGUCUCUUAAAAAUAUAUCAAUUGGUUGGUGUAGUAAAUUAACUUCUCUUAGUCUUCCACGUGGGCUGAAAUCCUUCACUUCUCUAAAAACAUUGGAAAUAUUUAGAUGCGAAGCGCUGACAUCAGUUCCCGAAUAUUUUACCGAAUUGCAUUCUCUUUGGUAUUUACGAAUAACAGAGUGCCAAAGUUUGAGUUAUUUUCCAAAGAAUAUAUUAGGCGGCCUCACUCGAUUAACGUUUUUAGAAAUCGGUGGUUUCUCGGAGGAGUUGGAUUCUUU